rnacentral:misc_RNA from 1 species
UUUCCGUAGGUGAACCUGCGGAAGGAUCAUUAACCAUUGGAUACCUUCGGGUAUAUCCCAUCCGUGUCUACAUACUCUUGUUGCUUUGGCAGGCCGUGGUCACCCACUGUGGGCUAUGCCUGCAUGCGCCUGCCAGAGGACCCCCAACUCUGUGUUUAGUGUUGUCUGAGUCUUAUUUAAUACGUUAAAACUUUCAACAACGGAUCUCUUGGUUCUGGCAUCGAUGAAGAACGCAGC